rnacentral:rRNA from 1 species
UACGUAGGGACCAAGCGUUGUUCGGAUUUACUGGGCGUAAAGGGCGCGUAGGCGGCAAUUCAAGUCAUCUGUGAAAUCUCCGGGCUUAACCCGGAACGGUCAGGUGAUACUGUUUUGCUAGAGUGCGGAAGGGGCAAUCGGAAUUCUCGGUGUAGCGGUGAAAUGCGUAGAUAUCGGAAGGAACACCUGUGGCGAAAGCGGCUCACUGGACCAUUACUGACGCUGAGGCACGAAAGCUAGGGGAGCAAACAGG